UACACAAACUAACUGACAUUGCACAAUAAAAUGUAGCAGAUUUGCUAGCAAUCCUUCUUUCUCUCGUAUAGAAGUACAUGCUAUCUAACGUGAGCAAAAUCAUUGCGUAACUACAGGUACAUCAUAUGACUAAUUUACACAGAAUACUGAUACUCGACCCCAUGCAUUCAGUUUCAGAACUUGAAACUAAUUAACCUGUGGAAACUAACCUGACUAGUAGCUUCUCUGGCUUCCAGUUUACAACUUCCAGGAUAUCAAUCAUUCAUUCUCAAGUUGCUGUUGGCAGCUACAAGUCGCCUUUUUCUGGAAUUUUCAUGUUCUUUUUUUGUGUGUAUAUGCCUUCCUCUUCGAUUUCGAGCUUGUGAUUGAGGUCAAUUGAUGGUGGUGGUUGUGCGAUGCAGAUGUUCGGGAUGGCGGAGAAGGAGAUGGAGUACCGGGUCGAGCUUUUCAACCGGCAAAUUUGGGGCUGAGGAAAGAAGACGAGGAGCAACUUCUCUCUGGUCUGGUCGUUGGAACUUCAGGACAAGGUGAAGGUUUUCAAAUGUUGAAGGAGGAGGACAAUAGGAACUUCUGUGAUGUCUUGUCAUCUAUUUUCUUUUCUUUGUUGUAGAAUAGUUCUGUUUGGCACUUACUGGUUGGAUGUAAAGAUAUGUACUGCUAGAAUGAAUGCAUGUAAAUAUAUUUUGGGCUCCUAUAAUAUUUCAUGUUGCUUUGAAAAUGUAUCGGAACUGGGCUAGGCCCAAGAUAACUUG